UCUCUAAAGUUGUUUUAAAACGUUUGUCAUACUACUUCUCACUAUUUGUUUCUUCUUUUCUCAGUUUCAAGUUAAUUUACCAAAAGUUACUGAUCAGACAGUUCUUAUCAUUUGUGUAUAGUUUGAAAUACAGCAAGUGACUUCACAGUCUCACGUUUUAUCAUUUCAAUUUCUACCAUUUUAACAGGAGUGACUGAAUAGACGGCUCUAAUCAUUUGUGGCUGGUUUUGAAAUGUUUCAUGUAAUACGACUUACUAUUGGUUUCUUCUUUAUUUUCAUAGUAUAAUUUAUACCAGGUCACACUCAAUUCAUAUCAUUUAAAUAUACUUUAAAUUACCAGAAGUGACAAUCUUACUGAGUUCAUAUCAUAGUUAAUACCAGGAGUCAGGGAUGAGACAGCCAUUUUUGAUAUUUUAUGUACUACUAAUUUCUCACUAUUCGUUUCUUUAUUUUUUAACUGUGGUGUAUACCAGUAGUGUCUGAUCAAAUUUCAUAGUAAGGUGUGUAUUCCAGAACUGACUAAUGAACUUAGUUGUGAUUAUUUAAGGUUCUUUAAAUAUUGUUUUAUGUUUCACUUCACAAAUGUCUCUUGUCCAACUUUCAUGUGUGUUGUAUGCCUAAAGUGACUGAUCAGACUGACUUUUCAUCAUUAUAGGAGUCACUAAUCAAACUUAUCUUCAGUUCGUUUUUGAAGUUACGUUUAAUGCUUUACUUUUCAUCUGUUUCAAUUUUUUAGUUUUCAUAUUAUGUUGAAUGCUAUGAGUGACUGACAACACUGAGUUGUUAUCUUUUAAGGAGUGACUGAUUUGACCGAGUUCUUAUCAUUAGAUGUUCUACUUACCUCUCACUACCUGUUUCUUUUCUCUGUUUCGUACUAUAGUUAUGACAGGAGUGACUGAUGAUAUCUAAUGAUUAAUUUCAUGGCUUAAGUCCUUAGAAUAAUUUAGACCUGGAGUGAUUGAUCUGACUGAUUUCUUAUGACAUAAUUUUACACCAGUAGUGCCCGACCUGACUACAGUUGUUUUAAAAAUGUUUCAUGUACUUAUAACUUCUCUAUUUGCCUUUGUUAGUUUCAUAGUAUAAUUCAUACUAUGAGUAACUGAUCAGACUCAGUUUUUAUUAUUUUGAUACUAAUUUCUUCAAUGUUUUAUGACUGAUCAGACUGGGUUAUAUUGUUUCAGUUUUUUAUAAUGAUGCUUCAUGUACUACUGACUUUUUUUCAGUUUCGUGGUAUAGUUUGAAUUUCAAAAAGUGACGGAUCGGACUGAGUCCCUAUUAUUUCAUGUUGGCUUUUUAACGAUGUUUCACUUCCUACCAUCUGUUUGUUUUGUGAGUUUCAUAAUACCAGGAGUGACUUUAAGACCGAGUUCUUAUUAUUUCUUCUGGUUUCAAAAUGUUUUGUUGACUGCUCACAUCUAACUACUUUUGUCAGUUAUAUACAACCGUUAAUUGCAUGAGUAACUGAUCAGGUUUAAAACUACUUACUUUGCCCUAUUUUUUCACUUUUGUAGCAUCAAGACACUAAUCAGGCUGAGUUCUUACCAAUUGAGUUUGGUUUUUGAAAUGAUGUUUCACGUUUAGUUCUUUUGUCCUCAAUUCUUACUUUAGUCUAUGUGACGUUUUAUACACCACUAUUUUCUCAGUAUUUUUGCUCAUUUUACCUCUCUUUCACGGUAUAGCUUUUACCGAAAGUGACUGAUCAGUCUACUUAGUUGUUAUUUGAGUAUAAAGUAUACUUUAAAAGCACCAGAAGUGACUGAGAUCAGACUGUUUUCUGAUCACUUGACAUUGGAAUUUAAAACAAUAGCUCAUGUUCUACUCAUUUGUCAUUGGUUACUUAAUUUCUCAGUUUCAUUGUGUAGUUUGUACUAGAACUAACUAAUCAGACAGAGUCUUACCAUUUGAGUCAUAGUGUAGUUUAUAUCUGGAUUAAGGGAAUGCUUAAAGUCAUUUAAGGUUGCUUCUAGGAAUGUUUUUAUUCGUCUCACUUCACAUUUCUUUCUUCUAAAAAGUUUGAUGUGGUGUUCAUCAUUUGCUCUUUAUUUUAAAUUGAUGUUUGCCGUACUUCUGACUUCUCACUAAUUACUACUUAUUCAAUUUUACAAUAAAGUUUAUAAUAGAACUCAGUUAUAAGACAGUUAUUAUUUGACCCUGGUGUUACAUGAUGCUAAAAGUACUACUAAUUUCUUACUAUUUGUGUUUCAUUUCUGUUUCAUACUGUGGUAUAUACCAAGAACGACUGAUCAGACAGUUCUUAUUGUUUGAUGUUGGUUUUUAAACAAUUUCCUGUACUACUAACUUCUCACUAUAUCCUUUACUUAGUUUCAUAGUAAGGUGUAUCCAGAAGUUCCUGAUGAAACUGAGUUCUGAUCAUUUAAGGUUGUUCCUUAAAAAAUUUUCUGUUCUACUGUUUCUUUUUUUCCCAUUUUCAUGUGUGGUGUAUACUAAAGUGACUCAUCAGAUUGGGUUUUCAUCAGUUUAUUACACUUUAUACUAGGAGUCUCUGAUUAAACUUAUUUUCAUAAGUUUUUCAAACUAUCCAAUUUCUCAGUUUCAUAUGUUGAUACUAUGAGUGACUGCUCACACUGAGUUCCUAUAUUGGAGAUUUGUUUUAUAAAAAUGCUUGCACUCACUUUGGAUCUGCUGCUUCUAUUUAUGGUUUAUACCAGGAAUAACUUGAGUGAGUGCUAGUCAUUAGAUGUUCUACUUACCUCUCACAAUCUUUUUAUUACUCAUUUUCAUACUAUAGUUUAUAGCAGGAGUGACUAGUGAGAUCAAAUUCUUAUUGAUUUUGUCGUUUUAAGAUUGGUUACUGAAAUGUUUAAUGUUCUACUCACUGUUUGCUUUUUUUAGGUCCUUAGCAUGGUUUAGACCAGGAUUGACUAAUCUGACUGAGUUUUUAUUAUGUGGUUUUAGUUUUUGUAAUGUUUCGUUUACACAGA